GACGAACGCUGGCGGCGUGCUUAACACAUGCAAGUCGAACGCUGAAGACCUGGCUUUGUUGGGUUGGAUGAGGGGCGAACGGGUGAGUAACACGUGAGUAACCUGCCCUCUUCUUUGGGAUAACGCCCGGAAACGGGGGCUAAUACUGGAUAUUCACUGAUCUUCGCAUGGGGGGUGGUGGAAAGGGUUGUUCUGGUGGGGGAUGGGCUCGCGGCCUAUCAGCUUGUUGGUGGGGUGAUGGCCUACCAAGGCUUUGACGGGUAGCCGGCCUGAGAGGGUGACCGGUCACAUUGGGACUGAGAUACGGCCCAGACUCCUACGGGAGGCAGCAGUGGGGAAUAUUGCACAAUGGGCGAAAGCCUGAUGCAGCGACGCCGCGUGAGGGAUGGAGGCCUUCGGGUUGUAAACCUCUUUCGCUCAUGGUCAAGCCGCAACUGUGGGUUGUGGUGAGGGUAGUGGGUAAAGAAGCGCCGGCUAACUACGUG
rnacentral:rRNA from 1 species